rnacentral:rRNA from 1 species
AUUGAACGCUGGCGGCAGGCCUAACUCAUUCAAGUCGAGCGAGCGGCGGACGGGUGAGGAAUGUCUGGGAAACUGCCUCAUGGAUGGGGAUAACUACUGGAAACGGUAGCUAAUACCGCAUACCAUCAGAUGUGCCCAGAUGGGAUUAGCUAGUAGGUGGGGUAACGGCUCACCUAGGCGACUAUCCCUAGCUGGUCUGAGAGGAUGACCAGCCACACUGGAACGGAGACACUGUCCAGACUCCUACGGGAGGCAGCAGUUGGGAAUAUUGCACAAUGGGCGCAAGCCUGAUGCAGCCAUGCCGCGUGUGUGAAGAAGGCCUUCGGGUUGUAAAGCACUUUCAGCGGGGAGGCGUUACCCGCAGAAGAAGCACCGGCUAACUACGUGCCAGCAGCCGCGGUAAUUC